AUCUCUAGGAUGCCAAUGGGCUGUGUCUACAGUACUAUGUAGGAAAGUGCUGCAAGAGUUUCAGGAAAUUAUGGAUAAAGCUGCCAUACAAAUCCAUGUGCAGGUUUUUCAAUGGAUGUAUGUUUUCAUUUUCUUCUGUGACUCUGGAAGGUUGUGCUGAGAACUCUGAAGGCUUGCUGUGACUUUUUGGGUCCGCGUCACCUUUAGGAGCUGUAACACUCACCGCGAAGGUCUGCAGCUUCACUCCUGAAGCCAGCGAGACCACGAACGCACCGGGAGGGAUGAACAACUCCGGACGGGAGGAACGAACAACUCCAGACGCGCCAUCUUAAGAGCUGUAACGCUCACUGCGAAGGUCUGCAGCUUCACUCCUGAAGCCAGCAAGACCACGAACCCACCAGAAGGAAGAAACUCUGAACACAUCUGAACAUCAGAAGGAACAAACUCCAGACACGCCACCUUUAAGAACUGUAACACUCACCGCGAGGGUCCGCAGCUUCGUUCUUGAAAUCAGUGAGAUGAAGAACCCACCAAUUCCAGACACAGUAACACCAGUUAUCACUGAUUGCAGUUCAUCAUAACAGAUAUAAUAAUAAUUUAAAAGUUUGAAAUAUUAUGAAAAUUACCAAAAUGUAACACAGACACAUGAAGCAUUGGAAAAAUGGCACCAAUAGUGUUGUUUGAUGUAGCAUUACCAUAAAUCUUAGAUUUGUAAAUAACAAAGUAUUUGUGAAGCACAGUAAAGCAAAGCACAAUAAAAAUGACGUGUGCUUGUAUUUUAAAAGAACAGAUUGAAUUGGGAAGGGUAGUUGAGGAACUGGAAGCAGAGAGAACAGGUACAAGAUUCACGUAGUAGUCCAAGAAAAUUAAAGCAAGUAGAAAAACUAACAGAAGUUCAGGAUAAAAGAUUUUGAGGCCUUAACUACACAUUUCCAGAAGGAAUGGAAAAAGGUCAGAAAUGAGAAUGUGGAAAUAUCCUCAGCUGAUUUGACUGUAAGUAGAAAGUGUUGGCAUAAAAAAAAUGGACGAAGCCAAAAAACUCAUGGAAUGAUGAAUAAUUAAAUAAAUUGAGGUCUCCUUAUCAAAAACAAAAAUGAAGACAUGUAGAUAGAAAUUUAUAUGUCUUUACUCUGUAAAGCUGGGAGAAUACCCAGAAGGUAUUUAGGAAGUAUGUGAUAAAAAUUUAAGAUUGGAGUUAAUGAACCAGAGAUAGGCAUGAGACACAUAAUAGGUAAUAAUACAGGUUAGCUGGUAAGAUCUUUGGAGCACAGCAAGCUUGGAUUUGAGUUAGUAAUAAUAAUUAUGCACUGCACAUUUUAGCCUUUAUAAUUUUUCACUGGUUCUUCCACUUAAUAGGCAUCUUUUAACAUCUAUUAAGUGUAGGAAAAUACUAAGAGCUGGAGAUACAGCAGUAAUAAAUAAAGUUUAUUUAAGUAAGUGUAAAGUUAAUAAAACACAGUCCCUAAUCUCAUUACUCUUACACUGAGAGAUUUUCACAUUCAAAAUUUACUGAGCACCUAUUGGGUACAGAGGACUUGGAUGGGCAAAUGAAUACAAUAUGUCUCUUGCUGUGUUGUUGGAACAAGUGGAAUGCUGGGGACAUCCAAAGAAAGGAGACCACAUGGAGGAGGUGAUAUUGGAUCUUGAGGGAUGAUUAAGAGUCAUCAAACAAACGACAUUUAUAUAUAUAUUAUAAUAUCAUCUCCUGUAAUCUCGCUCACACCCUGUGAGGACCAAGUAAAUAUAUUAAAGAUGUAUUUCUUA
ensembl:lncRNA LINC02552 long intergenic non-protein coding RNA 2552